GAUGGAGGGGGAUAACUACUGGAAACGGUAGCUAAUACCGCAUAACGUCGCAAGACCAAAGAGGGGGACCUUCGGGCCUCUUGCCAUCGGAUGUGCCCAGAUGGGAUUAGCUAGUAGGUGGGGUAACGGCUCACCUAGGCGACGAUCCCUAGCUGGUCUGAGAGGAUGACCAGCCACACUGGAACUGAGACACGGUCCAGACUCCUACGGGAGGCAGCAGUGGGGAAUAUUGCACAAUGGGCGCAAGCCUGAUGCAGCCAUGCCGCGUGUAUGAAGAAGGCCUUCGGGUUGUAAAGUACUUUCAGCGGGGAGGAAGGGAGUAAAGUUAAUACCUUUGCUCAUUGACGUUACCCGCAGAAGAAGCACCGGCUAACUCCGUGCCAGCAGCCGCGGUAAUACGGAGGGUGCAAGCGUUAAUCGGAAUUACUGGGCGUAAAGCGCACGCAGGCGGUUUGUUAAGUCAGAUGUGAAUCCCCGGGCUCAACCUGGGAACUGCAUCUGAUACUGGCAAGCUUGAGUCUCGUAGAGGGGGGUAGAAUUCCAGGUGUAGCGGUGAAAUGCGUAGAGA
rnacentral:rRNA from 1 species